AUGGGGUUCGUCUCCUUCGUCGGGAGGGUGCUCUUCGCCUCCGUCUUCCUCCUCUCCGCCUACCGAGAAGGAGGAAGCAAACUUGCCCGGCAAGAAGGGAUCCCUCAAGCUGGACGAAUGGGUGUUGUGCCGGCUUUAGAACAAGAAGAACAACUGGGAGAAGGUCAAGGUGGAGCAGGACAUGGCUGUGGAGGCAUGGCCUGA
rnacentral:rRNA from 1 species